UGAGAUUAACAACAAAGCGAAGCUAAAUGCUGGAAAGGACCACAUUGGUCAAUCAGUUAGAAACACAGAGAAUGCUAGGUGUUAUAGAGGCUGAACAUACCUGCCCAGUGUACUGAUUCAUUUUUGUGUGUCGACUUGACACAAGCUGGAGUUAUCACAGAGAAAGGAGCCUCCCUUGAGGAAAUGCCUCCAUGAGAUCCAGCUGUAAGGUAUUUUCUCAAUUAGUGAUCAAGGGUGGGAGGUCCACUUGUGGGUGGUGCCAUCCCUGGGCUGGUAGUCCUGGGUUCUAUAAGAAAGCAAGCUGAGCAAGCCAGGGGAAGCAAGCCAGUAAGUAACAUCCCUCCAUGGCCUCUAUAUCAGCUCCUGCUUGAGUUCCAGUCCUGACUUUCUUUGGUGAAAGGUGAAAGUGUAAGCUGAAUAAACCCUUUCCUCCCCAACUUGCUUCUUGGUCAUGAUGUUUGUGCAGGAAUAGAACCCUGACUAAGACACCCAGGCAAUGGGAGUUCUGUGCAGAACUUAGAGCUCCGGAUGGAAGGAUUCUAAGGGGUGUGUUGGGGCUAGGUGGUGGCAGCGGUCCUAACAAGCUGAGGUACCACUGGACAUAGAAAGCAAAUGGAGAGACAUGGCAAGGAGAAAGGAUGUCAGUACUGAAGCUACUGCUAAGAGCCAAGAAAGGGGCUGGAAAGAGGACUCAGCUGUCAAGAACACUUGCUUCCUUCCAGACAACUCAGGUUCAACUCCCAGAAUCUUCGUAGGGGCUCACAACUGUGUGAACCUCCAGUCCCAGGGGGGAAUCUGAAACCUCUUCUGGUCUGUGCAAGCACCAGGCACAAAAGUGGUACACAGAUACACACAGAAGCUAAACACCCAUACACAUAAAAUAAAAAUGUAAAAAGGAUGAAUUAAGAGUCCUGUAAACACCACAGGAAGAUGAUGCUCAGAGCCCCCGAGUACCUGACUGUUCUUGCCAUGGAUUCAUGGGACAGAACCAGGUAAUAUCCAGUAUGUAAGAACUUGAGCAUAGUAGAUACUCAGAAUGUGAGUUUGUCGUUGAUUUGUCAUUGAUUUAAAAACAAAUAGAAACAGGACAAUGUGUGAGCGUAAACACCUACGUGACAGGCAAGUCGGACAUUGAUUGUUGGUACAACCAUGUGCAAGAGUCGCUUGGCUACUUUCA
rnacentral:lncRNA from 1 species